AACGAACGCUGGCGGCAGGCUUAACACAUGCAAGUCGAGCGCCCCGCAAGGGGAGCGGCAGACGGGUGAGUAACACGUGGGAACAUACCCAUCUCUGCGGAACAACUCCGGGAAACUGGAGCUAAUACCGCAUGCGCCCUUAGGGGGAAAGAUUUAUCGGAGAUGGAUUGGCCCGCGUUGGAUUAGCUAGUUGGUGGGGUAAAGGCCUACCAAGGCGACGAUCCAUAGCUGGUCUGAGAGGAUGAUCAGCCACAUUGGGACUGAGACACGGCCCAAACUCCUACGGGAGGCAGCAGUGGGGAAUAUUGGACAAUGAGCGCAAGCCUGAUCCAGCCAUGCCGCGUGAGUGAUGAAGGCCUUAGGGUUGUAAAGCUCUUUCACCGAUGAAGAUAAUGACGGUAGUCGGAGAAGAAGCCCCGGCUAACUUCGUGCCAGCCGCCGCAGUAAGAC
rnacentral:rRNA from 1 species